UAUCUGCAGUCGAGCGAAUGGAUUAAGAGCUUGCUCUUAUGAAGUUAGCGGCGGACGGGUGAGUAACACGUGGGUAACCUGCCCAUAAGACUGGGAUAACUCCGGGAAACCGGGGCUAAUACCGGAUAACAUUUUGAACCGCAUGGUUCGAAAUUGAAAGGCGGCUUCGGCUGUCACUUAUGGAUGGACCCGCGUCGCAUUAGCUAGUUGGUGAGGUAACGGCUCACCAAGGCAACGAUGCGUAGCCGACCUGAGAGGGUGAUCGGCCACACUGGGACUGAGACACGGCCCAGACUCCUACGGGAGGCAGCAGUAGGGAAUCUUCCGCAAUGGACGAAAGUCUGACGGAGCAACGCCGCGUGAGUGAUGAAGGCUUUCGGGUCGUAAAACUCUGUUGUUAGGGAAGAACAAGUGCUAGUUGAAUAAGCUGGCACCUUGACGGUACCUAACCAGAAAGCCACGGCUAACUACGUGCCAGCAGCCGCGGUAAUACGUAGGUGGCAAGCGUUAUCCGGAAUUAUUGGGCGUAAAGCGCGCGCAGGUGGUUUCUUAAGUCUGAUGUGAAAGCCCACGGCUCAACCGUGGAGGGUCAUUGGAAACUGGGAGACUUGAGUGCAGAAGAGGAAAGUGGAAUUCCAUGUGUAGCGGUGAAAUGCGUAGAGAUAUGGAGGACACCAGUGGCGAAGGCGACUUUCUGGUCUGUAACUGACACUGAGGCGCGAAAGCGUGGGGAGCAAACAGGAUUAGAUACCUGGUAGUCCACGCCGUAAACGAAUGAGUGCCUAAG
rnacentral:rRNA from 1 species